UUGGUAUCUAUCACUGCUGGUUGUGCUUCCACGUAUAAUUCUUCUUUAAUGCUUUCCUCGACUGUUUCAGCUGUGACAGAUGCUGUGUUGUGUAAACUUGUCAGGGCUUUAUCUUCAGGCACACCUGUCAUUACACAACUCUUGUCGGUAUCUAUUGCCUCUGGUUCCUCUUCCAGAAGUGUUUGUUGCUGUACGAUUCCUUUCACCAUCUCACCCUUUUCAAUUUCUAACAUGAGCAACUUUGAUUGGGCAUCAUCCUCAAGUAUUUCCUCUUUCAUUUUCAUUUCUUCUUGAAUGCUUUCUUCAUCUCUAUCAACUUCGACUGAUGGUGACGUGUGUAAUCUUGACAGGGCACCUGCCAUUAUCAAAUGAGAUUUUAAAUGCAAAUCAAGAAAAGGCUGGCUAUGGUACUUUUAUGUAUCUGUAUGUUUUGUUGGAAAUUUAAGAAACCCCACUGCCAAAUUAGCCCAAAAUGGAAAGAACAUGCUGGGUUGGCUUUUGUGGGGUCAAGGAUCCUACUUUGAAUGUUAUUGGUUGGUCUGCCAAACUUUUCGAUCUGAAAGCAGGUUCGAGCAAAUGAAGGUAAAAAACUCCUUUCACAUUUGCUCACAUUUGGUCUCUUAAAAUAUGUUUUUCCAUUUGGUUAUGUAAUAGUAAAUUUUACUAAUCAUGGCUCCUUAGUCUAAAAAAGUUAGUAAAUGAACCAUCAUAUUUUCGUACGUGUUUGUUUUCACGAUUUGCACGCAACUUAAGACCCAUAAGCACUCAAGAACUAAGAUAUUUGCAACUUCUAUCCCGAUAUUGUUCCGGUCGACUCAAAAGGCCACAAGACCCAAUAGCAUCUUGACCAGCUCAAAGAUCUUGCAACCAAGCAAACACCAUGGCGGACGAGAUGACUUAGUUACGGAACAUCUCGUCCCAGCCAGGGGAGGAGGCAGAGAUUUUAGAAAGGGGGACUAAUAAGAAACUUUCAAUUUUUAUCGAAUAAAGAAUGUGCCAAAAAAAAACACAAAGAGAAUAAGAAAGAAGCAGCCGUCCAACGUAAGCAAAAACCCCUUUGUUGAAAGUUGGGUUUUUUUUUACAAACAAUUUUGAUGUGCAUAAUUUUUAUCACUUAUCUUAUUUUUACAAGCAAAACACAAGCACCACAAAUUUAUCUCAUAUAAUCAAACCAAUUAAGCAACAAAUUCAUCAUAACAUAUGGUUAAAUGUUUUGGAAAUUACCAGAAAAAGGGAUGUUUGAGAUUAAACCCCUUCUAAGUCUUUCUCAAUGUCUGAAUCUAAUUAAUCACCGACACAAUCUAUCCCAAAGAAAAAGUGACAAGAUUCAAAAUUUCACAACAAACCAAAUACCCAUAUGGGUGAUCAUCCAUAAACCCCAAAAGAAAGAGUAAUUGCAACAAUUUGCAAUCACCUACCCACCAACAGAGCACCAAAAAAAAGGAAAGAUUUUUGGGCAUAUCCAGAUGAUUCAAGAUGAAAUUGAAGGGACCCAUUAGAGGAAAAACGAGAAGAAAGGGAGUGUGAGGUUGCAAAAUGAGCGAAACCAGAGAGACGAAACGGUUCCUCAAGGGCUUCGGCGAGGGAAGGGUUAGAAGAAUCGCCACGGAAGCAGCGACUAUGUAGUUAAUGCUUACAAAACAAACACAAAUAGAUGGGAAUCAUGGCUUACCAAAGAGAAAAGAAAGAAAUGCACAACAGUCACCGUGUUUGAAUCCUAUCGUUCUCAAGUUCCACGGUGCUCCACAUUUAACCAUAUGUUAUGAUGAAUUUGUUGCUUAGUUUGUCUGAUUAUAUGAGAUAAAUUUGUGGUGCUUGUGUUUUGCUUGUAAAAAUAAGAUAAGUGAUAAAAAUUAUGCACAUCAAUUGUUUGUCAAAAAAACUCCUUUAAGUUUUAGCCUUCAACAAAGGGGCUUUUGCUUAUGUUGGGCAGCCGCUUCUUUCUUAUUUUGUUUAUGUUUUUUAGCACAUUAUUUAAUUAUUCGAUAAAAAUUGAAAAUUUCUUAUUAGUCCCUUUCAAAAUUCCUGCCUCCACCCGUGACUAAGAUAUUUCUUUUGUUACAUGCAGUAUAAGAUAUUGUUAUCACACUUAACCUUGUCUGUAUAUAGUUAUUACCGGUGAACAAGUAGUUUCAUAUGCACCUCGCGGAAUAUUAGUUGUCAAAAGCAAUUAUGUGGGGAAGAAUAUAUAUUGAGGAAAGCAUAUUGUCUAUAAUUUGUUUGUUUGGAAUAAGGCCAAAGAUUAUAUACUCAUAUUAAUUGUGAUAGCUUUAGAUAAUCUUAUACCUAGCAUCUGUGUGCCAUGAUAGUACGUUCUGUUGCACGUGUAUAUGCAUUAUUGGGAGAGGUUAUCACAUUAAAAGAGUUGAUGAAGAAGGGGGUCUCAAAUAUUAGCUGUACUAUAUACAUGAAAAAAUAGCAAAUACUUUCACAUUUGUAUUUAAGUGAUCCAUAAGCAACUCACUCAUGCAAAUUUCACUCCAAUGAUGGUUCCUUAUUUUUUUUUGCAUAAGAACUUGUAUGUUUAUAUUUUUAUUUUUACUUAAUGCAGGAGAAAAAAUGAAUUGUUA